UAGCCAAAUCUGGCAAGGCCAAAGCAG
rnacentral:misc_RNA from 1 species